GAUGAACGCUAGCGGCGUGCCUAAUACAUGCAAGUCGAACGAGGGCUCUGUUGUAGCAAUACGAUGGAGUUCCUAGUGGCGUCCGGGUGAGUAACACGUAGGCGACCUACCCCGAAGAGGGGGAUAACCCCGGGAAACUGGGGCUAAUACCCCAUACCUUCCGCGGAGUCAGAGGUCCGCGGAGGAAAGGAGCAAUCCGCUUUGGGAGGGGCCUGCGGCCCAUCAGCUUGUUGGUAGGGUAACGGCCUACCAAGGCGAUGACGGGUAGGGGGCCUGAGAGGGUGGUCCCCCACACUGGCACUGAAAUACGGGCCAGACACCUACGGGUGGCAGCAGUAGGGAAUAUUGCACAAUGGGCGAAAGCCUGAUGCAGCAACGCCGCGUGCGCGAUGGAGGCCUUCGGGUCGUAAAGCGCUUUUCGGGGGGAUGAGAAAGGACCGUACCCCCGGAAUAAGUCUCGGCUAACUACGUGCCAGCAGCCGCAGUAAAAC
rnacentral:rRNA from 1 species